GACGUAGGGCGCAAGCGUUGUCCGGAUUUAUUGGGCGUAAAGAGCUCGUAGGCGGCUUGUCGCGUCGACUGUGAAAACCCGCGGCUUAACUGUGGGACUGCAGUCGAUACGGGCUAGCUAGAGUUCGGUAGGGGAGACUGGAAUUCCUGGUGGUAGCGGUGAAAUGCGCAGAUAUCAAGGAGGAACACCGAUGGCGAAGGCGGGUCUCUGGGCCGAUGACUGACGUGAGGAGCGAAAGCGUGGGGAGCGAACAGG
rnacentral:rRNA from 1 species